rnacentral:lncRNA from 1 species
UACAUUGGCAUCUGGGGAGGGGGGGGGCUCCAUGUGUGGUCACGUGAACUCCGAGAACGAACCUGGCUGAGCACAGUCGACCUUGUCACUGUCAUGACCCAAGGUGUCCUCUGUGACUGGACAUGGGGCGGGGUGCGUUACGUAGAUGACUCGUUAAGCUCUAGUGGCUAACUCAGUGCGUCCAUGAAGGCUGUGCGGAGAUGCGGCCGGCAGAAGGCAAACAUAGAUGACGCUGGGGAUAUCGGUGUAAAUACGGGUAUGGCCAGUUGGUCGAUACAGAAGGGUUUGUUUGAAGGCCUUCGCUCACACGAUUGUGGCUGCUGGCAAAUCCAAAAUCUAUAAGGCAGGCUGGCGGCUGGAGCCUCAGGCAGGAUUUCUACGAGGCAGAAUUUCUCCUCCUUCGGGAAACCUGCUUCCCCUCGGAAGGCCUUCUGUGGGCUGCGUGAUGUGCUCCCACAUGCUCAGGGGCAAGCUCCUUUAUUGGCUGUAGGCAUCGGCCACAUCCCCAAAACACCUGCCCAGCAACCCUGAGAUGACUGCUUGGGUUCGUCUCCAGGUACGCUAAGCCUGCCCACAUAAAACUGACUGCCACACACUGACGUUCUCCGGUGAGAGAUGGGAGACUCAGAGAGGCCACUUCCUUUGCCAGGGUUGUAGAGCAAUGGAAGGGCUUGAGUGGUCAGGUCUUUGGGUCUCAUUGCCUGUGGUUCUAAACUAGCAGAGUGUGGAAUGCCUCGGCUUCCACUGACCCUGUGGCCCCGGCAGGGCCUCCACCAUCAGGACCGCCGAGCACGCCCUCCUGCCAGGAGCGACGUCCUCCUUCCUGAGAAGUUUCUCGUGGGUGGGAGGGAUGGGAACCGGACUCUUGACACCUCCCUGGUGCCCCAGCCCCACCCUCGCAAGGCGGACCACCCAGAAGGUUCUUCCGGCCCCUUUUCCAAAGCCCUCCUGCCUCACUUAACCCAGCCCAGGUUAACUGAUGACUGUGGGAAGAGAUGUUUCCAGCAGCACACUGUCUUGUAAUCCAAGGGGCCCUGGAAAAAGGGGUUUCGCAGCGGCACUGUGGUCUCAGAGUCCAUGCGAGAGGAAACACAUCUGUCCCUGUAUUUUCCGCAGACACCCCCCCUCGCCUCCCCCACGUCCCCACAGGCUGUCAUAUUGUUUCCAGUUGUGUUUAUGGUAAACUCAGGCCAUAACACGCCUCUGUCGUUGUAAAAGAUGGAAAGAGUCUUAGGAGAGAAAUUUUCAUCCCAGGCCUUUCAAGCGGCAUUUUCCCGGUGGUAGAGGUGAAUGGGAAACAUGAAGCAGCUGCCUGCAGGAACGUUUUUCCCUCUGUGGCAAGGAUAAACAGUGAAAGGCGUUUGCUGAAGAUGGAAAGAGACACUGUGCAAACCAAUAUGCACAGCUCCUGAGGCCUGUGCUGGGGGCCGUGGCUUGCUGACGUCUCUCCAAAUACGCAAGUCAGAGAAGGGCUGACUCACAGGUCAUGGAUUGCAAAAAAUAUGGCACAAGCCUGACUUCGAACUUUCAAAGGGACAAGGACGUGCACGCCACAGCCACAGCCCCAGACCAGGGUGUAGGCCGUGGGGCUCCAGCUCCCUUCUGGGCAUCACUGCUGUGUGUCCUUGGGAGAGUGUCUCCGCCUCUCUGGCACCUCCCUUCACUCUGGAAACCUGUCCAUCAGGCCAGGGGACUGGGGUGGCGUGCGGCCUACCUCCUCCCACCUUCCGAGCCCAACCCCAAAACUGGAUAAGCAGUCAGCUUGCACUCUGAACCCAGAACUGAAACGAGGAUUAAGCUUCGCUUUGUGCGUGCCACAAACCAGACACCACAUCCAACCUCCGGCUCUAGGGCCAGGAACUCCAAUCACCAAGCAUUUUUGGAAAACCAAAUCAAAGCUAGAUGGCUUUUCUAACAUGUUAUAUUGUAUUAAAGAUUGAAAAUGACAUUGAGAAGUAAAAAUAAAUUGGAAAUAACUGGAAAAAUCUAAAUGUCCAGUAACAUUGGGGGAUUCAUUAAAAAUUCUGACCCAAUGGAACGUCGACGAGCCACCACAAUGACCUUUUUAAAGAAUGU